CGUAUGUGAAUUUUUUGUGCAAUUGACCUUUACCUUGGGAAGAGUUCACCACUGACUUCUCAUGGGAACAAAAACGAAAACUUUUGUAUGCCACAGAGCCAAUAGGCUGCCUCGCAGGUGAACGGUUGAUACUCUCAGAGUUGGUUGAGAAAAAUCUAUAACUUGACCAUUAUUGCAUAUGCUUUGUAUAAAAUUUACUGGUGCUUUCAUG
rnacentral:misc_RNA from 1 species